rnacentral:rRNA from 1 species
UACGUAGGGUGCAAGCGUUAAUCGGAAUUACUGGGCGUAAAGCGUGCGCAGGCGGUUUUGUAAGUCUGUCGUGAAAUCCCCCGGGCUCAACCUGGGAAUUGCGAUGGAGACUGCAAGGCUAGAAUCUGGCAGAGGGGGGUAGAAUUCCACGUGUAGCAGUGAAAUGCGUAGAGAUGUGGAGGAACACCGAUGGCGAAGGCAGCCCCCUGGGUCAAGAUUGACGCUCAUGCACGAAAGCGUGGGGAGCAAACAAGG